GACGAAGGAUCCAAGCGUUAUCCGGAUUCAUUGGGUUUAAAGGGUGCGUAGGCGGACUAAUAAGUCAGUGGUGAAAGCCGAUAGCUUAACUAUCGAACUGCCAUUGAUACUGUAAGUCUAGAGUAUAGAUGAUGUUGGCGGAAUAUGACAUGUAGCGGUGAAAUGCAUAGAUAUGUCAUAGAACACCGAUUGCGAAGGCAGCUGACAAAACUAUAACUGACGCUGAUGCACGAAAGUGCGGGGAUCAAACAGG
rnacentral:rRNA from 1 species